GAUGAACGCUGGCGGCGUGCCUAACACAUGCAAGUCGAGCGAGUGAAUCUCCUUCGGGAGUGAAGCUAGCGGCGGACGGGUGAGUAACACGUGGGCAACCUGCCUCAUAGAGGGGAAUAGCCUUCCGAAAGGAAGAUUAAUACCGCAUAAGAUUGUAGCUUCGCAUGAAGUAGCAAUUAAAGGAGCAAUCCGCUAUGAGAUGGGCCCGCGGCGCAUUAGCUAGUUGGUGAGGUAACGGCUCACCAAGGCGACGAUGCGUAGCCGACCUGAGAGGGUGAUCGGCCACAUUGGGACUGAGACACGGCCCAGACUCCUACGGGAGGCAGCAGUGGGGAAUAUUGCACAAUGGGGGAAACCCUGAUGCAGCAACGCCGCGUGAGUGAUGACGGCCUUCGGGUUGUAAAGCUCUGUCUUCAGGGACGAUAAUGACGGUACCUGAGGAGGAAGCCACGGCUAACUACGUGCCAGCAGCCGCGGUAAGAC
rnacentral:rRNA from 1 species